GAUCCGGGCUCAGGAUGAACGCUAGCUACAGGCUUAACACAUGCAAGUCGAGGGGCAGCAUGAACUUAGCUUGCUAAGUUUGAUGGCGACCGGCGCACGGGUGAGUAACACGUAUCCAACCUUCCGUUUACUCAGGGAUAGCCUUUCGAAAGAAAGAUUAAUACCUGAUAGUAUGGUGAGAUUGCAUGAUAACACCAUUAAAGAUUUAUUGGUAAACGAUGGGGAUGCGUUCCAUUAGGUAGG
rnacentral:rRNA from 1 species